ACUCUCAAAAUAAAUGGAAGGCUCUCGUGCUUCUUGAUAGUGAAGGUUUCGAAAUAGACAAUGGAAUUUAGUAAAGAUGGAAAGUGUUUGAACAUCAUCGUGCUCUGCCAAGGGCCUAAUCAGGGAAGACAAAUGAAUUCGAAAAUGACAUUGUCUACGGCAGAGCUUUAGAAGGAACAUUAUCUCUACAUGGCAGCAAUAGUGACCAUAAGUCGUUUGCGAUCACUAUGCAAAGGGCAAGUGUAUCAGGACUUAAUCGGGGAUCUGUUUAUUAAACUCUUUGCUGCCUGCAGCCUUUGUGUUGUCAGUGAGGAUAAAAGUAUGAAGUAAGAUGUUGCAUUAUGGACUCGCCGACAUACAUAUUGUGGAAUAUGUGCAUUCUUGAAGGAAAUAACAAGGAUGCUCUGCAAUUCCUACAGUGAAUGAAACAAUAUGGACUUGCCGAUAUACAUAUUGUAGAACAUGUGCAUUCUUGAAAGAAAUAACAAGGGUGAUGCUCUACAAAUCGUACAGUGAAUCAAACAAUGUGGACUUGUCGACAUGCAUAUUGGGGAAUAUGUGCAUUCCUGAAGAAAAUAACGUGACAAGCAAUCGUGGGCCCUAACUGAAGAGAACCAUUUCAAAGAAUGGAACCAAUGUAUUCUUACCGUAGGAUUUCAAAGAGGCUGCUGCUUUUAUUAAAUUUGAAAUAAUCCUCACUCGAACAAUACAAUAUACCUUUGGUGCAUUUGGUGCAAAUGGAUUGGCUUGAAUAACUAAACACGUCAAGACGAGAACUGUUGGAAGAAAACC